UGAAGAACGUAGCGAAAUGCGAUACUUGGUGUGAAUUGCAGAAUCCCGUGAACCAUCGAGUCUUUGAACGCAAGUUGCGCCCGAAGCCAUUAGGCCGAGGGCACGCCUGCCUGGGCGUCACACGUCGUUGCCCCCCCAUCUACUCCUUCGGGAUUGCGGGGGGCGGAUGAUGGCCUCCCGUGCGCCUCGUCGCGCGGUUGGCAUAAAUGCCAAGUCCUCGGCGACGCACGCCACGACAAUCGGUGGUUGCGAAACCUCGGUUGCCCGUCGUGUGCGGUCGUCGCGCAUCGAGGGCUCGAAAAAAUUGCCGGGCUCCGGCUCGGUUUUCAACGCGACCCCAGGUCAGGCGGGGUUACCCGCUGAAUUUAAGCAUAUCAAUAAGCGGAGA
rnacentral:misc_RNA from 1 species